GACGAACGCUGGCGGCGUGCUUAACACAUGCAAGUCGAACGGUGACGAGGAGCUUGCUCCUCUGAUCAGUGGCGAACGGGUGAGUAACACGUGAGCAACCUGCCCCAGACUCUGGGAUAACAGUUGGAAACAGCUGCUAAUACCGGAUACGAGACGGAGAGGCAUCUCUACCGUCUGGAAAGUUUUUCGGUCUGGGAUGGACUCGCGGCCUAUCAGCUUGUUGGUGAGGUAAUGGCUCACCAAGGCGACGACGGGUAGCCGGCCUGAGAGGGCGACCGGCCACACUGGGACUGAGACACGGCCCAGACUCCUACGGGAGGCAGCAGUGGGGAAUAUUGCACAAUGGGCGAAAGCCUGAUGCAGCGACGCCGCGUGAGGGAUGACGGCCUUCGGGUUGUAAACCUCUUUCAGCAGGGAAGAAGCGCAAGUGACGGUACCUGCAGAAGAAGCACCGGCUAACUACGUG
rnacentral:rRNA from 1 species